rnacentral:rRNA from 1 species
CGCGGCCUAUCAGCUUGUUGGUGGGGUGAUGGCCUACCAAGGCGACGACGGGUAGCCGGCCUGAGAGGGCGACCGGCCACACUGGGACUGAGACACGGCCCAGACUCCUACGGGAGGCAGCAGUGGGGAAUAUUGCACAAUGGGCGAAAGCCUGAUGCAGCGACGCCGCGUGAGGGAUGAAGGCCUUCGGGUUGUAAACCUCUUUCAGCAGGGAAGAAGCGCAAGUGACGGUACCUGCAGAAGAAGCGCCGGCUAACUACGUGCCAGCAGCCGCGGUAAUACGUAGGGCGCAAGCGUUGUCCGGAUUUAUUGGGCGUAAAGAGCUCGUAGGCGGUCUGUCGCGUCUGCUGUGAAAACCUGGGGCUUAACUCCGGGCCUGCAGUGGGUACGGGCAGACUAGAGUGCGGUAGGGGAGACUGGAAUUCCUGGUGUAGCGGUGAAAUGCGCAGAUAUCAGGAGGAACACCGGUGGCGAAGGCGGGUCUCUGGGCCGUAACUGACGCUGAGGAGCGAAAGCGUGGGGAGCGAACAGGAUUAGAUACCCUGGUAGUCCACGCCGUAAACGUUGGGCGCUAGGUGUGGGGCUCAUUCCACGAGUUCCGUGCCGCAGCAAACGCAUUAAGCGCCCCGCCUGGGGAGUACGG